UACGGAGGAGGCAAGCGUUAUCCGGAAUUACUGGGCGUAAAGGGCGCGUAGGCGGCGAACCAAGUCAGAUGUGAAAGUCCUGGGCUUAACCUGGGGACUGCAUUUGAUACUGGUUUGCUUGAAUUCGGGAGAGGAUAGCGGAAUUCCCAGUGUAGAGGUGAAAUUCGUAGAUAUUGGGAAGAACACCGGUGGCGAAGGCGGCUAUCUGGACCGACAUUGACGCUGAGGCGCGAAAGCGUGGGGAGCAAACAGG
rnacentral:rRNA from 1 species